rnacentral:rRNA from 1 species
ACAGCAGCCGCCGCGGUAAUACGAAGGGGGCUAGCGUUGCUCGGAAUCACUGGGCGUAAAGGGUGCGUAGGCGGGUCUUUAAGUCAGGGGUGAAAUCCUGGAGCUCAACUCCAGAACUGCCUUUGAUACUGAAGAUCUUGAGUCCGGGAGAGGUGAGUGGAACUGCGAGUGUAGAGGUGAAAUUCGUAGAUAUUCGGAGGAACACCGGUGGCGAAGGCGGCUCACUGGUCCAUUACCGACGCUGAGGUGCGAAAGCGUGGGGAGCAAACAGGAUUAGAGACCCCAGUAGUCCCUGUCUCUUAUAC